UGGGUAGAGUGUUCAAUGUCCAUUUAAUUAAAUCACCAAAUAUUACGGCCCCAGCCUGUGAGGUUAUUGAGACCCCAGUGAAUAGCAGCAACCUAUUGGCUGCAGGAAAAUGGUACAACUCAGGAGUUUAAUCUGUUCUAUUCCCACAAUGUGUGCUUAUAACAAGGAGAGGAAGGAAAGCAAGAGAUGUUCUACCGUAUCUUGAUGAAUAUUACCUAGGAAUUACUCCUUCAUUUUCGAUCAACAGUGUCCCUAAAACUUCAUUGAAAGCAUAGACAUUUUAGUCAAUGAGCCACCAGAAGGGCAACCUCACCAGACCCUUGGACCUGACUCAUUCAGCCUUUGAGUCUUUAUCAGUCCCAUGUCCUCACUUGGUGAUCUUCACUGGUGAAACUGGGUCGUAAUAUGCUUGAGAAAAUGAGUGUGUCCCUUCAUCAGGGAGAUCACCAAGAGGGGCACAGGGCCUGGUGUGGCCUUGGAAAGUCAGGUUGUUGUGUAAGUGGAACCUAUGGGAGCAGCCUUUUGAAAAGGAAAAGUUGCAACAAUGUUGUAACACGAGUGCAAUAUGUGAGACUUUUGCAUAAUGAACACUUCAGUGCCUUACAAAACAACACAAAACAAAAAAAGGGAGUUGUGCUUUAGUUGAAAGAACUUGGGUGUUGGAUUUAGUAGACCUGAGUUCAUCUCCCACUCCCCUGUUACUUAGCCCUCUGGGUGACCUGGGGCAAGACACUGCAUCUCCCUGUGCCUGAAUUUCCACACCUGUCAAGGGGCAAUAAUGGUGCUGUUUUUGUAUUGUGUGUGGAUUUAAUUACAAUUGUAGGAUGUCAGGCACAAAGCUCAGCACAAAAUAACAGCUCAAUAAAUAGUGUGUCUCUGUGGCUGGUGGCCCAUUUAGCUGUCUCAUUUAUUCUACUUAAUAUUUUUGGCUGGGCGCCAUGGCUCACGCCUGUAAUCCCGGUAUUUUGAGGUGCUGAGGCAGGUGGAUUACCUGAGGUCAAGAGUUCGAGACCAGCCUGGCCAACACGGUGAAACUCCAUCUCUACUAAAAAAAAAAUACAAAAAUUAACCAGGUGUGGUGGCGGUUGUCUAUAAUCCCAGCUUGGGAGGCUCACGCAGAAGAACCACUUGAACCCGAAAAGUGAAGUUUGCAGUGAGCCGAGAUUGCACCACUGCACCCCAGCCUGGGUGACAGAGGCAGACUUCAUCGCUAAAAAACAAACAAACAAACAAACAAACAAAUGUAGAAUUUUCCUGUCCCUCCCUAGAAACUUUCAGUGCUGAAAGGACCCUCGGAGGUCAUCAAGUCCCACUGUCUUUGUUAGAUGAAGAAAUUCAGUCCAAGGAGGUUACGUGACUUGCUCGAGGCCACUCAGCUUUCUGACCCUGCUCCUCGAACCCUCCAUCAGACCUUUUGGAUGUGUCUGCUCUGCGGGCACAUCCUUCUAGGCUGAGCAGUGCUGACUCUAAUUUCAGACUCGUUUCGUAGUCUGUUGACAAUUACGUUGUCCAUCAUGCCAUUUAGAGCUCUGACUUUAUAGCUUUGGGAAGCACCUUAAAAUAUAAUUGCAAACACUCUGCCCAUCCAAAUGUGUACUUCCCAUGCCUAAUAAUGAGGCUUUUAAGUGGUGGCACAGGAGAGCGGCAAGAUGAUAGCUCAUGCGAAAUGAGAAAUUGGAGCAAAUGGGAUUUGGUAAUGGACUUUGCAGUGACACGAGUUGUCUGAUAGCUGGUCUGUGGUUAUCUUGGUACAUUUUGUAUUUUGAAAGGCACAAAAUGUCAGGUCAUUGCUCAAAUACUGGUUAAGAUUUUGAUUAUUUUGCAGAAUUGUAGCAUAGUACCUCAGGAUUGACAUUUUGCCCUCAAAAUUUUAUGUUCAAUGUUCCUGUCCUUUGUUUAGAAGUUGCACUUUCUAUUGUUUGUAAGUCUAUCAAAAAAAAAAUAGAAAGUUUUUCUUUCCUGUUGCCUAAAUGAUUUGAUUGUUUAGUUCUUGGAGUAGAAACACCAGCUGCCCUUAGCCUGGGUGCAAGCCAGCAGAGAAGGGGAAAGGAAUGCAAGAGUGAGUAAGAUGUGGCCCUUAUCCUCAAGGAAUUCAGAGUCCCAUGGGGGAGAUAGGCCUGGUUUCUAUAAACAAUGAUGCAAGACAGAACAUGAUGUGCCAGGAGGGACAGAGUGCCAAGGUGGGGACAAAGGAAUGACGAGUCCCGAAAUAGACCUGUGGGAAAGGUGUUGUGAUGCUGGGAGGCUGGACUGGAUCUUAAAGAAGGUGGGGAUUAUAACAUAUAGGGAAAGGGUGGCAGGCGGGGAGAUGGGGGCAGAGAGAGAGUAUAAGAAGGCAGGGAUUCCAGGCAAAGAGAAAAAGUUGAGCAGAGGGUGGAGGCUGGUAGGCGAGGAGAGGUAAAUGGGGUCCCUUCAUGAAAGGACUUGGAAGCCACGCUAUGGUGUUGUGUCCCUAGGCCAGUGUCCACAUCCUGCUCACAUUUGGGACAUCUGUGAGGCAGGGUGCCUCCUUUUUGUCCCUCCAAGAGGACAGUUGGGGGACUUGGCCUCUGGCCGCCUCAAGUUGGGUCAGCACCUGCUGGGCCUCAUCCUGGUUCAUCGUGCAUCAAUGGGAGCGCACCUGGGUUCUGCUGACAUGUGAGAGCUUCUUCACCGAGGGGUUCAGAAAAGUGUGCUCAUGGCCUGUAGAUCUGGAUUCAAAGGGAGAUGAGAAAAAUAGGAACUGAGCCCGUGGCUUGCCUCACCCACUUCCUGAGCCUGCGCAAGGGACAAGACUUUCCUGUGUGGCCUUCUUACGGCAGUCCACAGGGAAGUGGCCUCAUUUUCUGUGUCUGUCCUGCCCAGCGCCCCCACUCUCCUGUGCUGGUCCCAGGCCAUCCCUUAGCCAGAGUGCAGAACUCCAGACCCCCAAUAUUCUCUCAUAUCCUCAGAAUCUUCAGCUUCCAUCCAUGGAUGUUGGCUGAAUCCUGAGUGGGGUCGUAGAAAGAUCUGGUCCUGUGAGUAGGGGGGCGAGGAGGAAGGCAGGGACUUCAGCUGGGCUGUCUACAACCUGAGUCUAAAACACCUAAAGACAAGCACAACUUGCCCCCGCUAGGACGAAUUUCUUGCUCCAGACCGCCUCACUGCAUCUCUAGGGCCAUGUGUAUUCCUGCUAUUUGGCCACAUUCCUUGAGAAAAAUUGCCUAUUAAAAGAAUUUCCUUAUUCACCA
rnacentral:lncRNA from 1 species